rnacentral:rRNA from 1 species
CCUACGGGCGGCUGCAGUGGGGAAUAUUGGACAAUGGGGGGAACCCUGAUCCAGCCAUGCCGCGUGUGUGAAGAAGGCCCUCGGGUUGUAAAGCACUUUCAGUGAGGAAGAACGCCUGGUGGUUAAUACCCAUCAGGAAAGACAUUACUCACAGAAGAAGCACCGGCUAACUCCGUGCCAGCAGCCGCGGUAAUACGGAGGGUGCGAGCGUUAAUCGGAAUUACUGGGCGUAAAGCGCGCGUAGGUGGCUUGAUAAGCCGGUUGUGAAAGCCCCGGGCUCAACCUGGGAACGGCAUCCGGAACUGUCAAGCUAGAGUGCAGGAGAGGAAGGUAGAAUUCCCGGUGUAGCGGUGAAAUGCGUAGAGAUCGGGAGGAAUACCAGUGGCGAAGGCGGCCUUCUGGACUGACACUGACACUGAGGUGCGAAAGCGUGGGUAGCAAACAGGAUUAGAUACCCCAGUAGUC